rnacentral:rRNA from 1 species
UACGUAGGGUGCAAGCGUUGUCCGGAAUUAUUGGGCGUAAAGAGCGUGUAGGCGGCCCGAUUAGUCCGCUGUGAAAGUCCAGGGCUCAACCCUGGAAUGCCGGUGGAUACGGUCGGGCUAGAGUCCGGAAGGGGCGAGUGGAAUUCCUGGUGUAGCGGUGAAAUGCGCAGAUAUCAGGAGGAACACCAAUGGCGAAGGCAGCUCGCUGGGACGUGACUGACGCUGAGACGCGAAAGCGUGGGGAGCAAACAGG